GUCAGAAUGCAAGAUUAAGAUCAAACAACAAUUACAACAAGGAAAACAAGGGAAGAUGACUGCUGAAAGACAACGUAAAGGUGAAUACAGCUUCAUUAAGGAUUUGAAGUUAUAUCAAGAAUCUUUCUCAAUCAAAGUGCUUAUACUAAAAGUGUCCUUGGAGCAAUUCUCAUCGUCAAAAGGUUCAGGUCAGGUUCAAAAGAUUAUUGUGAUUGACGAAGAGGGAACAAAGAUUCAAG